UACGGGGGGAGCAAGCGUUGUUCGGAUUUACUGGGCGUAAAGGGCGCGUAGGCGGUCGUGACAAGUCACUUGUGAAAUCUCCGGGCUUAACUCGGAACGGUCAAGUGAUACUGUCGGACUAGAGUACAGAAGGGGCAACUGGAAUUCUCGGUGUAGCGGUGAAAUGCGUAGAUAUCCGGAAGAACACCGGUGGCGAAGGCGGCCUGCUGGGCAGUUGCUGACACUGAGGCGCGACAGCGUGGGGAGCAAACAGG
rnacentral:rRNA from 1 species